GGAUUUCAAGUGAUACUGCAUCUAGUAUAGACUGUGGUUGGUCUUCUUCCUUCCAGAAUUACAAUUAUUGAUUUUUAAAAAUUAAAUAAUUGGCCAUCUCACACAUACCCAAGAGCACCUCCUUAUAAAGUAUUUAGCAAAACAAUAUUUUCUCCAAAUCUCCGGUAUUUAGCACAACAAUUGACAAAAAGAAUUUUGAUUCUUCAAAGAAGUGGCUCACAUUUAAUUUUAGGUGACCUGAAAUAAAUAACAGACAUAAGGUUAUUAAUUCCAAUGGGUUAUUUUUUUGGAAACAUGUACAUUUUCUGCAUUUUAAUGACAACUAUUGGCUUAAAAAUAUAUCUAGUUCAAGGACUGGGAAACCAUCUGCUCAAGAACACUGAGUAGAUGUAAAAAGAAAGCAAAGGUCUUUAGUGGAAGGGGAGUUGUAGGGACAGAUUCAGGUAUUGGAACAGGAAAACUACGUCCAAACCUUGGAAAUCUUGGAUAUGGAAUUGGUGGAAAUGGGCGAAAUGGAUAUGGGUAAGGGAACGCAAGAAACCCUGAAAAAAAUUCAUCGCUGUCACUGACCUGUUGAAAGAAAGAAGUUAAAGGGUUUAUUUUACUUUUUACAAAGAAGAGAAAUUGAACAGCUUUGUUUUUUUAAAUAAUGGGCCUUUAUUUUUAGAAAGAGGCUUUAGAAGCUCUAAAAUACUUUAUCCUUUCUGUGUGUACUAUGGACAGGGAGUUUAUUAAUUUGCAUCAUUUAAAAAUUAUUUAGAAAGGUAUGUUCUUGUAUCUUUCCACCUUGUAUCUUGCCACAAAAUAAAGACAAAUUUUUCUGGCAA